UGUGUUUUUUUUCAAAGAUCAAUAUCUUUGGUUUUCCAUUUCCUUCUCCAGCUCAAUUUACAGAUGAAGAACAGAGGCAAACAGGAUCAAGUGACUUGCCCAGGUCAUACAGUGGCGCAGUUCUGAGGGAAGGCACAACAGGACCAAAUCCUAAUCAAGAGUCUUUCAAACUGAGCUCAUUCUGCAUCAACCUUAUCAUCUAGGUGGACAUCGCUGAAAAGGUAAGUGAACUUAUCUAUAGCAUUCAAAAUUUCUCCAUUUGUUGUAACCAAUGAGUCCACAAAUGGAUGAUGUAGUGUUGACUAGUGGAGAAUCUCUGUUUUCUUUAUGUUAAUUAUCAAGCCAAGAUUAGUACAAGUGGCAGAGAAUUGAUCCAUGCUCUGGUGCAUCUCAAUCUCAGUGGCUGCAUUAAGUGGACAGAAUCUGUGAACAGAAAGUUGUUCAACAGUUAUCCCUUCACCCUAGUCUUGCCUUAUAGCUGUUUCAACGUAGUA
rnacentral:lncRNA from 1 species